rnacentral:rRNA from 1 species
CCUACGUGAGGCUGCAGUGAGGAAUAUUGGUCAAUGGGCUUACGCCUGAACCAGCCAAGUCGCGUGAGGGAAGACUGCCCUAUGGGUUGUAAACCUCUUUUGUCAGGGAGCAAUUGGCGCUACGUGUAGCGUUAUCGAGAGUACCUGAAGAACAAGCAUCGGCUAACUCCGUGCCAGCAGCCGCGGUAAUACGGAGGAGGCGAGCGUUAUCCGGAUUUAUUGGGUGUAAAGGGUGCGUAGGCGGGAUGCCCAGUCAGCGGUAAAAUCGCGGGGCUCAACCUCGCUCCGCCGUUGAAACUGGCGUUCUUGAGUGGACGAGAAGUAUGCGGAAUGCGUGGUGUAGCGGUGAAAUGCAUAGAUAUCACGCAGAA